UACGUAGGGGGCAAGCGUUGUCCGGAAUCAUUGGGCGUAAAGCGCGUGUAGGCGGCUCGAUAAGUCUGUUCUGAAAGUCCAGGGCUCAACCCUGGGAUGCGGAUGGAUACUGUCGAGCUCGAGUCCGGAAGAGGCGAGUGGAAUUCCUGGUGUAGCGGUGAAAUGCGCAGAUAUCAGGAGGAACACCAAUGGCGAAGGCAGCUCGCUGGGACGUGACUGACGCUGAGACGCGAAAGCGUGGGGAUCAAACAGG
rnacentral:rRNA from 1 species